GAUGAACGCUGGCGGCGUGCCUAAUACAUGCAAGUCGAGCGAACAGACGAGGAGCUUGCUCCUCUGACGUUAGCGGCGGACGGGUGAGUAACACGUGGAUAACCUACCUAUAAGACUGGGAUAACUUCGGGAAACCGGAGCUAAUACCGGAUAAUAUAUUGAACCGCAUGGUUCAAUAGUGAAAGACGGUUUUGCUGUCACUUAUAGAUGGAUCCGCGCCGCAUUAGCUAGUUGGUAAGGUAACGGCUUACCAAGGCGACGAUGCGUAGCCGACCUGAGAGGGUGAUCGGCCACACUGGAACUGAGCCACGGUCCAGACUCCUACGGGAGGCAGCAGUAGGGAAUCUUACGCAGUGGGCGAAAGCCUGACGGAGCAACGCCGCGUGAGUGAUGAAGGUCUUCGGAUCGUAAAACUCUGUUAUUAGGGAAGAACAAAUGUGUAAGUAACUAUGCACGUCUUGACGGUACCUAAUCAGAAAGCCACGGCUAACUACGUG
rnacentral:rRNA from 1 species